rnacentral:tRNA from 2 species
ACCCACUGGCGGAGGCGCUCUUGGCGUCUCCCGGGUUCACGCUGCGGGGUGGCGCCUCAGAUGUGCUGCUUUCGAUCGUCACGAAGAGUGAGACC